rnacentral:rRNA from 1 species
AACGAACGCUGGCGGCAUGCCUAACACAUGCAAGUCGAACGAGACCUUCGGGUCUAGUGGCGAACGGGUGCGUAACGCGUGGGAACCUGCCCUUAGGUUCGGAAUAACUCCCCGAAAGGGGUGCUAAUACCGGGUAAUGUCUUCGGACCAAAGAUUUAUCGCCUUUGGAUGGGCCCGCGUUGGAUUAGCUAGUUGGUAGGGUAAAAGCCUACCAAGGCGACGAUCCAUAGCUGGUCUGAGAGGAGGAUCAGCCACACUGGGACUGAGACACGGCCCAGACUCGUACGGGAGGCAGCAGUGGGGAAUAUAGGAGAAUGGGCGAGAGCCUGCUCCAGCAAGGCCGCGUGAGUGAUGAAGGGCUUAGAGUUGUAAAGCUCUUUUACCCGAGAUGAUAGUGACAGUACCGGGAGAAUAAGCUCCGGCUAACUACGUG